rnacentral:rRNA from 1 species
AACGCGAAGAACCUUACCUGGGUUUGACAUCCCUUGAAUACAGUAGAGAUAUUGUAGGCUCGCAAGAGACAAGGAGACAGGUGCUGCAUGGCUGUCGUCAGCUCGUGUUGUGAAAUGUUGGGUUAAGUCCCGCAACGAGCGCAACCCCUGCUUUUGGUUGCCAUCAUUCAGUUGGGCACUCCAAAGGGACUGCCGUCGUUAAGACGGAGGAAGGUGGGGAUGACGUCAAGUCCUCAUGGCCUUUAUAUCCAGGGCGACACACGUGAUACAAUGGUAGAUACAAAGGGCAGCGAAGCAGCGAUGUGAAGCUAAUCCCAAAAAGUCUAUCUCAGUUCGGAUUGAAGUCUGCAACUCGACUUCAUGAAGCUGGAAUCGCUAGUAAUCGCGGAUCAGCACGCCGCGGUGAAUACGUUCCCGGGCCUUGUACACACCGACGCAC